AACGCGAAGAACCUUACCAGGGCUUGACAUCCGCCGAAUCGCCGUGAAAGCGGUGAGUGCUCUUCGGAGAGCGGCGUGACAGGUGCUGCAUGGCUGUCGUCAGCUCGUGUCGUGAGAUGUUGGGUCAAGUCCCGCAACGAGCGCAACCCCUGCCUCCAGUUGCCAUCGGGUUGGGCCGGGCACUCUGGAGGAACUGCCGGUGACAAGCCGGAGGAAGGUGGGGAUGACGUCAAGUCCUCAUGGCCCUUAUGGGCUGGGCUACACACGUGCUACAAUGGCGGUGACAGUGGGCAGCCAAGGCGCGAGCCGGAGCUAAUCCCCAAAAACCGUCACAGUUCGGAUUGCACGCUGCAACUCGCGUGCAUGAAGGUGGAAUCGCUAGUAAUCGUGGAUCAGCAUGCCACGGUGAAUACGUUCCCGGGCCUUGUACACACCG
rnacentral:rRNA from 1 species